UUUAUGGAGAGUUUGAUCCUGGCUCAGGAUGAACGCUGGCGGCGUGCCUAAUACAUGCAAGUCGAGCGAACAGAUAAGGAGCUUGCUCCUUUGACGUUAGCGGCGGACGGGUGAGUAACACGUGGGUAACCUACCUAU
rnacentral:rRNA from 1 species